UGGGGAAUAUUGGACAAUGGGGGGAACCCUGAUCCAGCCAUGCCGCGUGUGUGAAGAAGGCCUUAUGGUUGUAAAGCACUUUAAGCGAGGAGGAGGGUACUGGUAUUAAUACUACCAGGUACUGGACGUUACUCGCAGAAUAAGCACCGGCUAACUCUGUGCCAGCAGCCGCGGUAAUACAGAGGGUGCGAGCGUUAAUCGGAUUUACUGGGCGUAAAGCGUGCGUAGGCGGCUAAUUGAGUCGGAUGUGAAAUCCCCGAGCUUAACUUGGGAAUUGCAUUCGAUACUGGUUAGCUAGAGUGGUGGAGAGGAUGGUAGAAUUCCAGGUGUAGCGGUGAAAUGCGUAGAGAUCUGGAGGAAUACCGAUGGCGAAGGCAGCCAUCUGGCCUAACACUGACGCUGAGGUACGAAAGCAUGGGGAGCAAACAGG
rnacentral:rRNA from 1 species